AUGCCCUUAAUGUUCAUCCACUAUCAAUCCUUGUUUCUGAAUACUAACUUUCUCAAUUUCUUUUCAUCAUCAAAGAAAUUAAGAAAGUAUCAAUUAAGUUUCAGAAAUGGAGGCAAUGAAGAUAAAUCAAUUCUUUGUUGUUAUGAUGGUGGUGGCCAUGAUGAUGGCAGCAUCAACUGUUUCAGCUCAAGAAGCACCGGCUCCAAGCCCUACAUCUGA